rnacentral:rRNA from 1 species
UACGUAGGGCGCAAGCGUUGUCCGGAAUUAUUGGGCGUAAAGAGCUCGUAGGCGGCUUGUCACGUCGGAUGUGAAAGCCCGGGGCUUAACUCCGGGUCUGCAUUCGAUACGGGCUGGCUAGAGUGUGGUAGGGGAGAUCGGAAUUCCUGGUGUAGUGGUGAAAUGCGCAGAUAUCAGGAGGAACACCGGUGGCGAAGGCGGAUCUCUGGGCCAUUACUGACGCUGAGGAGCGAAAGCGUGGGGAGCGAACAGG